UACGUAGGGGGCUAGCGUUGUCCGGAAUCAUUGGGCGUAAAGCGCGUGUAGGCGGCCCGGUAAGUCCGCUGUGAAAGUCGGGGGCUCAACCCUCGAAAGCCGGUGGAUACUGUCGGGCUCGAGUGCGGAAGAGGCGAGUGGAAUUCCUGGUGUAGCGGUGAAAUGCGUAGAUAUCGGGAGGAACACCAGUGGCGAAGGCGGCAUCCUGGACCGGUAUUGACGCUGAGGCGCGAAAGCUAGGGGAGCAAACGGG
rnacentral:rRNA from 1 species